CAGCCCUGUGACGUCUGGAGCAUUGGCUGCAUUCUCUUUGAGUACUACCGGGGCUUCACACUCUUCCAGACCCACGAAAACCGAGAGCACCUGGUGAUGAUGGAGAAGAUCCUAGGGCCCAUCCCAUCACACAUGAUCCACCGUACCAGGAAGCAGAAAUAUUUCUACAAAGGGGGCCUAGUUUGGGAUGAGAACAGCUCUGACGGCCGGUAUGUGAAGGAGAACUGCAAACCUCUGAAGAAUAUAAGCUCCACAGAAGAAUGGAUUUUAAAAAAUCUGUUGCCAUAUCCCUAGCAUCAGGAAGAGUGCCUGUUCAACGAAUAUUUGUGGAAUGGACCAAUGGGUCCCCAGCUCUUCAUGUGCAAUGGCUCACACCUGUAAUCCCAGCACUUUGGGAGGCAGAGGCACGCAGAUUACCUGAGGCCAAGAGUUUGGGACCAGCCUGGACAACAUGGCGAAACCCUGUCUCUACCAGAAACACAAAAAAUUAGCUGUGCAUGGUGGCACAUGCCUGCAGUCUCAGCUACUUCAUGAGGCUGAGGUGGGAGAAUCGCUCAAGCUCAGGAGGUGGAAGUUGCAGUGAGCUGAGAUUGUGCCACUGUGCUCCAGCCUGGGUGACAGAGUGAGAACCUGUCUCAA
rnacentral:sRNA from 1 species